GACAACAUGGAGGUCAUUUGUCUCCGUCACUGGCUGCUGCUAGUCACAAGGAUUAAUGCCUCAGCGGCUGUUUAUUAAUGUUGAAGAACAAAAGACAGAAAAUGAGGAGGAACAAGUUAAAAUCAAAGUACUGCACCUACCCAGUGAAUGCAGUAAAAAGAGCAAGAAAGGAGACCUUGUCAAUACACAUUAUGAUGCUUACCGAGCCAUAAUAUGACCAAAUUAUAUUGCAGAUAAAUCAAAUGUUUAAUACAGAUGAAGUUUUACUGCUAUCCAUGCAAUCUUCUGUAAUACAAACUGUUGUAUUAAGCUGGCUAUACAUAUCCAAUAGUCAGGAAAGUUGGCUCAUUUCAACCAUGUUACUGGACCAUCUGGGAAUGUACAGUAAGUCUCCGCAGUUUGACAAGCUAUCAUCUGACUGCCUGGGAUUGAAGUUGGCCUGUCCAAACAGGGAUGAGGCACCUGCUCAGUCAGUGGAUGGUGCACU